rnacentral:rRNA from 1 species
AGCGAACGCUGGCGGCAGGCCUAACACAUGCAAGUCGAGCGCCCCGCAAGGGGAGCGGCAGACGGGAGAGUAACACGUGGGAACGUACCCUUUGGUUCGGAACAACCCAGGGAAACUUGGGCUGACACCGGAUAAGCCCUCACGGGGAAAGAUUUAUCGCCGAAGGAUCGGCCCGCGUCUGAUUAGCUAGUUGGUGAGGUAACGGCUCACCAAGGCGACGAUCAGUAGCUGGUCUGAGAGGAUGAUCAGCCUCACUGGGACUGAGACACGGCCCAGACUCCUACGGGAGGCAGCAGUGGGGAAUAUUGGACAAUGGGCGCAAGCCUGUUCCAGCCAUGCCGCGUGGGUGAUGAAGGCCCUAGGGUUGUAAAGCCCUUUCGGCGGGGAAGAUAAUGACGGUACCCGCAGAAGAAGCCCCGGCUAACUUCGUGCCAGCAGCCGCGGUAACAC